AAAGUCGUAACAAGGUAACCGUAGGUGAACCUGCGGUUGGAUCAUUACUGAAAUUAAAGGCCUUUUACUUUUAAGUACUUGGCACUUUAUUACACCCCUUUGUGAACCAAUAUUGUAUUUUGGCAGUCCUCCAUACAGCUGAAUUGAAAGAGUAGGCUUAGGCUUUGCUCACCUCUUUUGCCAUGGGCUGUCAGCCUUUAUAAACACCAAUGUCAUAUAUAUAUCAUGUCGCCAAUGGGACUUUAAAAGUUUCGUUAUUUUAAUAAAUACAACUUUUGACAACGGAUCUCUUGGCUCUC
rnacentral:misc_RNA from 1 species